ACACCGCUCCGAGCUUGCAAAAGUUGGUGUUGAAUUAGAACCUUGGGAAAAACAACUUAUUGAGCACAAGGGAAAACUUGAAGUUGCAUCUACCGAGAAUAAGCUUUUGAGUGAAAAGGAAGCUGCUCGUGCAGCUUUUGAAGAUGCGGAAAAGUAGAUGGAAGACAUAUUGGGAGCUAUUGAAACAAAAUCUGAGAGUAUCACAAAAAUUCAAAGUGAUCUUGAAAGGAGCAAACUCGAAGCAUUGGAAGCUCAUAAAGUGGAACAAGUUCGUGUUUUAAUGAUGUACAGGGAGGGGCUCGGCAGGGACGGUGGCUGGGCGCGGGGCUGGCUGGUGGGGUUCUCAACUUCACGGUGGCAGCAGGUAUAUUGAGAUGAUUUCUUUGGAGAAAUUCUUGACAACAUUUGUAGUUGAGGCCUUUAGAAUGGAAGAAUGUAUUUCACUAAUUUUUGUAUACAUUUCUUGUUUUGUAUUUAGUGAUAAAGGAAUCUGAAUUAGGCAUAAAUUAUGUUGUAAUAUGAUUUCUUAAGCCUGGACUAGUAGACUAAAUAUUGUAAUUACAUUUGAGUAAUUAAUAAAAAUCUAUUUAUGUUACCUUAU